rnacentral:rRNA from 1 species
CACGUAGGGGACGAGCGUUGUUCGGAAUUACUGGGCGUAAAGGGCUCGUAGGCGGCCAACUAAGUCAGACGUGAAAUCCCUCGGCUUAACCGGGGAACUGCGUCUGAUACUGGAUGGCUUGAGAUUGGGAGAGGGAUGCGGAAUUCCAGGUGUAGCGGUGAAAUGCGUAGAUAUCUGGAGGAACACCGGUGGCGAAGGCGGGUCUCUGGGCCGAUACUGACGCUGAGGAGCGAAGGCGUGGGGAGCAAACAGG